AUUUGUCUACCUUGACAAGAACAUCUUCAAUUAUCCCACGUGGUGUUUUUACAGAUCGAUCAGCCAAUUGAAGGGAUACUGAGGUUGGUUUUAACUCACCUAACCCAAGUUUCUCAUAAACUGAGUAAGGUAAAAGGUUGACACUUGCCCCUAGAUCUAAGAGUGCUCGAUCAAUGAAAUUAUUUCCUAAGACACAGGAGAUGGUGGGAGCACCAGGAUCUUUGAAUUUCGGAGGGGUGUUGUGUUGGAGAAUAGAACUCACUUGCUCAGUUAGGAAGACCUUUUUAGGCACAUGUGUACUAGAUUUUCGCUUUUGGGUACAAAGGUCUUUGAGAAAUUUGGCAUAGGAGGGAACUUGUCUAAUAGCAUCAAGGAGUGGGAGGUUGAUUUUAACUUGUU
rnacentral:lncRNA from 1 species